GCCUUGGAACUCAAUCACCAUGGGGAUGAAUCAGCAACUUGGCUUCAUGAACAAAAUUAUGGAUUCCUUGAGUAAAUGUUCUACUCCAGUCAGGAGUCCUCACCAACCACAGGGAGUGGAACGACAAAUGCCAAUCCUGAUAUGAAUAAGGAAUGUGUAAGAGCCAAGCUGAUGCAGACCAGCAGGCAGAGAAAAGACCCGGAGGGAAAGACCGAUGAUCACCUUGACAGGUGAGACUCUGAGGCUCCAAUCCUUGUGGACUCCAGAACAGUAAGUCAGAGAACACUGACUAGAACUUCACAGAACCGGACUCCUGGGGUUCACGGUGGCCUUCAAUCUCCUUACUUCAUCUUCCCUCCCUCAAGAGAUGCUCAAAUUCCUACAGCAAUCAACACCUCAAAAGUCUUCCUGACUGCCUCUCAGGCUGGAUGAAUCUAUUCAGCAGGCCUGCCCAAUCUAGAGCAACUAAUUACAUUUUUUAAAAAAAUUACUUUCUUAAAGAA